AGAAUUUUAGUUUAAGUAAUUAUUAAAACAGUAAAUUGCAAAUUUAGAGAUGCUGCAAGCAGGUUCUU
rnacentral:tRNA from 1 species